GGCUCAGGACGAACGCUGGCGGCGUGCCUAAUACAUGCAAGUCGAGCGGACAGAAGGGAGCUUGCUCCCGGAUGUUAGCGGCGGACGGGUGAGUAACACGUGGGUAACCUGCCUGUAAGACUGGGAUAACUCCGGGAAACCGGAGCUAAUACCGGAUAGUUCCUUGAACCGCAUGGUUCAAGGAUGAAAGACGGUUUCGGCUGUCACUUACAGAUGGACCCGCGGCGCAUUAGCUAGUUGGUGAGGUAACGGCUCACCAAGGCGACGAUGCGUAGCCGACCUGAGAGGGUGAUCGGCCACACUGGGACUGAGACACGGCCCAGACUCCUACGGGAGGCAGCAGUAGGGAAUCUUCCGCAAUGGACGAAAGUCUGACGGAGCAACGCCGCGUGAGUGAUGAAGGUUUUCGGAUCGUAAAGCUCUGUUGUUAGGGAAGAACAAGUGCAAGAGUAACUGCUUGCACCUUGACGGUACCUAACCAGAAAGCCACGGCUAACUACGUGCCAGCAGCCGCGGUAAUACGUAGGUGGCAAGCGUUGUCCGGAAUUAUUGGGCGUAAAGGGCUCGCAGGCGGUUUCUUAAGUCUGAUGUGAAAGCCCCCGGCUCAACCGGGGAGGGUCAUUGGAAACUGGGAAACUUGAGUGCAGAAGAGGAGAGUGGAAUUCCACGUGUAGCGGUGAAAUGCGUAGAGAUGUGGAGGAACACCAGUGGCGAAGGCGACUCUCUGGUCUGUAACUGACGCUGAGGAGCGAAAGCGUGGGGAGCGAACAGGAUUAGAUACCCUGGUAGUCCACGCCGUAAACGAUGAGUGCUAAGUGUUAGGGGGUUUCCGCCCCUUAGUGCUGCAGCUAACGCAUUAAGCACUCCGCCUGGGGAGUACGGUCGCAAGACUGAAACUCAAAGGAAUUGACGGGGGCCCGCACAAGCGGUGGAGCAUGUGGUUUAAUUCGAAGCAACGCGAAGAACCUUACCAGGUCUUGACAUCCUCUGACAACCCUAGAGAUAGGGCUUUCCCUUCGGGGACAGAGUGACAGGUGGUGCAUGGUUGUCGUCAGCUCGUGUCGUGAGAUGUUGGGUUAAGUCCCGCAACG
rnacentral:rRNA from 1 species